rnacentral:rRNA from 1 species
UACGGAGGGUGCAAGCGUUAUCCGGAUUCACUGGGUUUAAAGGGUGCGUAGGUGGGCAGGUAAGUCAGUGGUGAAAUCUCUGGGCUUAACCCGGAACUGCCGUUGAUACUAUCUGUCUUGAAUGUAGUGGAGGUGAGCGGAAUAUGUCAUGUAGCGGUGAAAUGCUUAGAUAUGACAUAGAAACAUCGAUUGCGAAGGCAGCUCGCUACA